UUCAAUUCUUAAUCCACCUCUUCCAGUUUUUCCUCACUGACCCCCUCCCUUCCCUUCCGCGAUCGUCUUUCUCUCAACCCACCGUCCCUGACUGCCAUCGCCGCUUCUCCAUUUCGUGAGUGACCUCCUUUCAGUCUGCGCCCCUGGAAGAUCAAAGGCUACGGGUUUCUUUUUUGCCGAUACCACUCCAUCCAUGCUCUGUGGCUACCGAUGUCGAUAGCAUCGCUGAUUUGAACGCCUCCAAGGAGGAUUUCUAACAGCAGGUUCAGUUCUCUCGGAAGCGUUACUUCGUCAUCGACGACCACCUCCUCAGCAGCUCCAAAUCCGUUCCUGGUUCUGGCGACCAGGUUUUACAAUGACUAGAAGAAGAAGGAGUAAGAUGCAGCACAUGAGAGACAUUGUGAAUGCCGUCGACACCAUAUUCUUCAAUCUAGCUGAUGCUUCUUCCAGUAUUUAUUAAAUUCAGCAAGAGAGGUUGGGGAAGGAAGCCGAUUUCUGAAGCGUGUGUUCUCUCGCCUGCAAUAUUUCACACAUAUACCAGGAACCAUUUUUGUUUUCAUGGUGCAGCCUCAGAUUACAACAACUGCUAUGAAGUUCACAUCCAACCCUACUAUUGCUUAUUGCAGGACCUUGCCUAAAGUUCAUUUGCUAUGAAUUCUCGAACUAUAAUAUUGAGGUGAGUUAUGAAGAACUAUAUCUAGAACUAAAUCCUAUUCUGUUCUUGUGCCAAUUUUUAAGUACUUUUGACCUGUGAUGUUUUUUCUCUAUUUAAUUCUCUGUUUGUUUGCUGAUCAAAAUCUAACUCUCAAUGUUUGUCAAUAAUGCAUGCUUAGUCUAUCAUAACAUCAUAUCUGAUGCUACAGAUAGAGUUUUGCACGAGAUUUCAAAGAGCUUUUGAUAAGAUGUAUUUGUUGUCUCUCCAGAUAAUUUAUCCUAAUAAUUGUUUUUAAGUAUGAGUAGUUAAAGUGAAUCAGUAGAGAUUCUUUUUUCCUAAGAUUGAUAUUUGUGAUGGAAACUACCUUUAUUCUCAUAGUUGAUUGUAUCAGUUUGAGGUCCUUGGGAGGAGACGAUAGUUGUUGCAGGUUCAUCAAGGUUCAUGCUUUCCCUGUUAACUUUCUUACCCUUUUGCAAUCCUUUUCAUCUCACUUUAUUUCUGCAUUGGUUCUUUUUAGUUCUAAAUCAAUAUAAGUCUUUGAGAAUGUCAACGAGAGAUUGAAGUGAGCGAAUAUUUGACAUGUCACAUUUUGGUUCUAUUCUACAAUCACUAUGCCAGCGGAGUAAGAAAACUAUAGGGAAUGUUGUUUGGAAUCUGUUUUGGGUGGUUUAAAGGGCACUGAGCCAAUACUUAUUGUGAUUGCUUUUAACAUUGAACAAGCAACUAUCCCUUAACUUUUCAUUUACCUAAAGAAAUUUAAAUAAUCUCUUCAGUUUGCGAUAUAGUGAGAGAAAGCAUUACCCUUCUCAAAAACUAAUUUAUAAACCACCAAAAUUCAAAAUGAGCAAAACUCAUCUCUUAAUGCUCCUACCUUGUGUACAUUUCAGAUUAGCUUCCUCUGGAAAAUCAAUCAAAAUUCAAAUGCUUCAAGCUUCUGAAGCUUGCUACCAAACUAUGUCCAUAAGUAACUAUGGUACAAAAUCUACAUCAUGUUAUCCUUGCUAAAUAUAGGACUUUAGCGGUCACAACAUCAACCAAAUUGAUCGUAGAAACUCUGUAUACGAUAUAAUGUUGAAUUGUAUCCAAACUCACAGAAGGUUUUCCAGUAGAAGUCACUUGAAUGUAACACGCUCAACCUAAUAAUUUACAAUACCUUGGUAAUGGAAAUUGGUAAUCUUCUGUAUAAUGAAGACAUUCUCUUUGCCAUUACGCUUAACGACAUUCUUUUUUCUUUUUCAUAUGCCAGUUGUUUAUAACUUCUCUCCACAUUUCUAUUGAUGGUAUCUCAUAUAUUGCAUUCAGUGUGUGUGUUGAUAGUCGUUUUGAGGAACUUGGGUGGCAUGUCUUUGGGCAAUAAAUGGUUACACUAGCUAUGAUGAUAGUCAUGCUACCAUUAAGGAGCAAAAGCUGUCAGAGACAAACCCACACCAUUUAAUUUUUGGCAUCCAAUCAGAACUAGCAGAAUCUGUCAUUCUUGUGGCACUGAUGUGUUUAGAGACUCUUCUUUCCUUCAAAAACUAAAAUUUGAUCUUUUAAACAUCAAGAUGCAUCUUCCUAAAUUUAUAGAAUGCAGCUUUGUGAGAUGAAUAAGGUCUGAGGAAUGAGGGAUUGGGAUUGAGCAGGCUUCUAAGUGGAAGUGUGCUAUUUUUUAUCAGCAUGUAAGUAAUUAAAAAAGAAAUUAAGAAACCCAAAGACUACUAAACUAUCAAGUGAUGGCUCAAUGGUCUCACCUGGUGUAUUAAAGUUGUUCAAUUUUAUCUUUAAUUCAAUGCUAUGAUGAGUUCUAAUUGUUUUGAAGCUCUUGACCAUUGAUUCAAUGAAUAAUGGAUUAGUGACCUUUUUCAAUGUACAUGCUCAGUUGCUCUAUGACUGUACUCUGUAGAAGAAAAUUGAUUGUUGUCAUGAGGGUCCAAAUUAACAUUAAGUUUAUUUAAGUUUCUCACAGCCAUUUUUUCAACCACUGUGCCACAAGAAAGAAGACACACUUCUCUAUUUUUUUACUUUUAUUUUGCUUCACAUAAUUGCUAAAGGGGAUCCAUCAGAUUCUAUUUAUAUGGAAGUAGAGCUGGAAAGGUUGUCAUAUAAUAACCAAACUUUCUCACAAUGCAAUGAGUCUGGAAGGUGGACAAACCUUGACCCCUGAGUCUAGGGAACAUCUCAUAUAUAUUGAGGUUUUAUGAUUAAACUUUCUAUUUAUACUCAUUGUUAUGAAUAAAAUUUACAUUUGUUUGUUGAAAACAUGAGAUAGCUUAAAAGAGAGGCAGAUAUUGAGCACACAAAUGCAGAAGAGGAAAUCGAAAUCUGGUAGAAUGAACCUAUAUUCGAGAUGGUGCCUUCCUUUGAGCUUGAAGCAAAGGAGUUUACAACUCAACUGGCUCAUCGCCUAUGGACUGACAUAGAGGACAUGGAACACUUUACAAAGAGUGGAACUUUUAAGGAGAUAUUUGGACUCAACUUUGCCCUACAAUUUUCAAGUAGGAAAUCAUUUUGUUGACAGCCAGCGCGUGGCAUCUUUUAUGAGUUUUAAUGUAGUUUGAUAUGGCCAUGUAAAAAUUUCCCAGCUCUAUGUAUAACAUAGUGAAUUCUUUUUUCUGAAACUAUAGAAACAAUUUGAUUUA